UCCUGGCUCAGGAUGAACGCUAGCGGCAGGCCUAAUACAUGCAAGUCGAACGGGUUUAAGUAGCAAUACUUAAAUCAGUGGCGCACGGGUGCGUAACGCGUAUGCAACCUACCUUAAACUGGGGGAUAGCCUUCCGAAAGGGAGAUUAAUACCGCAUAAUACUAUUUGAUGGCAUCUGAAGAUAGUUAAAGAUUUAUUGGUUUAAGAUGGGCAUGCGUGCCAUUAGCUAGUUGGUAGGGUAACGGCCUACCAAGGCUACGAUGGCUAGGGGUUCUGAGAGGAUGAUCCCCCACACUGGUACUGAGAUACGGACCAGACUCCUACGGGAGGCAGCAGUAGGGAAUAUUGGGCAAUGGAGGCAACUCUGACCCAGCCAUGCCGCGUGCAGGAUGAAGGCCUUCUGGGUUGUAAACUGCUUUUAUCUAGGAAGAAAACGCCCAUGCGUGGGAAACUGACGGUACUAGAUGAAUAAGCACCGGCUAACUCCGUGCCAGCAGCCGCGGUAAUACGGAGGGUGCAAGCGUUGUCCGGAUUUAUUGGGUUUAAAGGGUGCGUAGGCGGCCCGUUAAGUCAGUGGUGAAAGCCUCCAGCUCAACUGGAGAACUGCCAUUGAUACUGACGGGCUUGAGUACAGACGAGGUUGGCGGAAUUGAUAGUGUAGCGGUGAAAUGCAUAGAUACUAUCAAGAACUCCGAUUGCGUAGGCAGCUAACUAGGCUGUAACUGACGCUGAGGCACGAAAGCGUGGGGAGCGAACAGGAUUAGAUACCCUGGUAGUCCACGCCGUAAACGAUGAUUACUCGAUGUCGGCGAUAAACAGUCGGCGUCUUAGCGAAAGCGUUAAGUAAUCCACCUGGGGAGUACGCCCGCAAGGG
rnacentral:rRNA from 1 species